ensembl:lncRNA novel transcript
AGCUCUUUCCACCCGAGCGCGAGGUAGACGCCGGGGCCACCCGCAGCACGCAGAGCUUCUGGGAGCCGGUGGCAAGGCCGAAUUGGGAUGCAAACCAAAUGGACGUGGGUGACUGGCAGAAAACGCCUCCCACAAAUGGGAGGGAUUUCGGAGGGAACCGAAAGAAAGUUGGAACUACUACAGCCACCCCAACCUUGAGCAACCAUCACUCUGAUCAAUCAGCAGCCAUCAACAUUGAGACAAGACUCUCCACCAGCAAAAAGAUUAUGACUUGUCCGGGUGCGGUGGCUCACACCUGUAAUCCCAGCACUUUGGGAGGCUGAGGCAGACAGAUCAUCUGAGGUCAGGAGUUCGAGACCAGCCUGACCAACAUUGUGAAACCUGUCUCUACUAAAAAUACAAAAAAUUAGCCGGGCAUGGUGGUAGGCACCUAUAAUCUCAGCUAUUUGUAAGGCUGAAGCAGGAGAAUUGCUUGAACCUGGGAGGUGGAGGUUGCAGUGAGCCGAGAUCACAUCAUUGCACUCCAGCCUGGGCAACAAGAGCAAAACUCCGUCUAAAAAAAAUAUAUAUAUAUAUAUGACUCACUGAAGGCCCACAUGAUCAUUCGCAAUUUUUAGCCAUAACGUAUUUUUAAAAUUAAAGUAUAUACAUUGAUGUUUUAGACAUAAUGGCAUUGUACUCUUAUUAGACUACAGCAUAGGGUAAACAUAACUCCUCUAUGCACUGGGAAAUAAAAAAAUCUGUGACUCAC